CUGGCUGACCCACCUUGCUGCUGCCCUCAGAUCUUCCACCCGGAGACCACCGACAUCUACGACAAGAAGAACAUGCCCAGGGCGGUGUACUGCCUCCACGCGCUCAGUCUGUACCUGUUCAAGCUGGGCUUGGCCCCGCAGAUCCAGGACCUGUCUGGGAAGGUGGACUUCACGGAGGAGGAGAUCAGCGACGCGGGGCGGGAGCUGGAGAAGCUGGG